rnacentral:rRNA from 1 species
UACAUAGGGGGCGAGCGUUAUCCGGAAUUAUUGGGUGUAAAGGGUGCGUAGACGGGGUCUUAAGUUAGUAGUGAAAUCCCUCGGCUCAACUGAGGAAUAGCUACUAAGACUGGGACUCUUGAGUACUGGAGAGGAAAGUGGAAUUCCUAGUGUAGUGGUGAAAUGCGUAGAUAUUAGGAGGAACACCAGUGGCGAAGGCGACUUUCUGGACAGAAACUGACGUUGAGGCACGAAAGUGUGGGGAG